UUGGAUACAUUGCUUGAGUAUUUUCUCCACUGCUAACACCUAAUAUAUGUAUCUCAUCUUUUGCAGUUUAAGUUGUAAAGCAGAUUGUGGCAACCUCCUAGGGAUGGAGUAUGAAUGUGGCAGUGCAAAGAAUGCAGUUUGGAAUUAGCUAGCAGAUUAAAGGUGUUGCAAAAUGGCAAGUCCAGCUGUCCUGCGGAUCAUUUUUGGUGACGUGUCUGACUCUAGAAAACUGCACCUUCCUUCUGGAAUUCCAGCAUCAGUGGAAGAACUACAUGUGCUAAUCAAGACAUUCUUUCAAUUGAAAGAGGACUUCCGUAUGCAAUACAUGGAUUCAGAUUUUAAUGAGUUCAUUAACCUAACUUCAGUGUUUGACAUUCAAAACAAAAGCACACUGAAAAUAAUCUUUAAUCCUAUUUUGUCACCUGUGGAGCCCUGCAUCACUUUGUACACAGUAGACUCUUUUGGUGAGACCUCGGCUACCACUUUCUCAGAGCCUGAAACCCCUGUUUCGUCAAUAGCCUCAUCCUGCAGUGACGAUACGCUGUACACAUCAACACCGCAUUCAUCCCCAGAAACUCAGCCCUCAAGAUUGGCCUCCUGGCCAAAGAUUUUUGUAGUCCCUAAAUUCACCUAUGAGGCAGAAUUUGAACUACAACAGAAAAACACAGAGUUUGAGACCAAUGGAACAUACUUUAGCCCUGGCCCAAAGCUAAAGGGGGUCAUCCUUGAUGGCCUUGCGCAAGAAAUGAUGAAAUACACAAAGUAUCCAAGACUAUCAGUGUGAAGAGGUAGCAGCAGCUUUGACAAGGGCCCAUCCUUGUCUGGGCAGUUGGGAUCCAAGACAGGAUUUUGGGGAUGGAAACAGUCGCUUAAGUAUAAAAUGCAAAACUAUCGUACAAAACUUGGCAGACUUGGACAUCCUGAAACCCGUGUGAACUCUUUGAAAACAAACGAGAAGGCCAAGGCAAAGCUGCACCCAAAAAUCAAGAAGCCUAGAAAGGCUGAAGUUAACUAUAUUCCUCUGCACCCAAAAGGCGAGACCACAGAAGUUUAGAGAAUGAGAGAAUUGCUUUAUUGUCAGAAGUGAAAAAGCGUGACAAUGAAGUGGUGAUAAAAGAAAAAAUGGGAAAAACUUCUCCCACAGACGACUAGAGAUCGUGGAGCAGAGGCCCCUGAUAGAAGAUGUCGUAAACAGAUGGCCUGCCUUAUUCCAGGAGAGU